AUUGAACGCUGGCGGCAGGCCUAACACAUGCAAGUCGAGCGAGCGGCGGACGGGUGAGUAAUGUCUGGGAAACUGCCUGAUGGAGGGGGAUAACUACUGGAAACGGUAGCUAAUACCGCAUACCCUAUGAUGUGCCCCGAUGGGGUUAGCUAGUAGGUGGGGUAACGGCUCACCUAGGCGACGAUCCCUAGCUGGUCUGAGAGGAUGACCAGCCACACUGGAACUGAGACACGGUCCAGACGCCUACGGGAGGCAGCAGUGGGGAAUAUUGCACAAUGGGCGCAAGCCUGAUGCAGCCAUGCCGCGUGUAUGAAGAAGGCCUUCGGGUUGUAAAGUACUUUCAGCGGGGAGGCGUUACCCGCAGAAGAAGCACCGGCUAACGCCGUGCCAGCAGCCGCGGUAAUAC
rnacentral:rRNA from 1 species